AAGCUCAUCUCCUAUGUAAACACCUAAAUGCCAAGUCUGGACUUCAAAAACAAAUUCUGAAAGUUUAACCAGCAUUAUGGACAAAAAGUAUACACUUCGAACAGACACAAAAACAUAUAGGUCCAUGCCAAGCUAUGAAAGAUUUAUGCUGAGGAUGAAAGGGAAUUGCAGAAGAAUGAAUUGAUGUUAACAUCUCAACAUUAAAAUUGGCUUAAAUUUGAA